rnacentral:rRNA from 1 species
UACGUAGGGGGCUAGCGUUGUCCGGAAUCAUUGGGCGUAAAGAGCGUGUAGGCGGUCCGGUAAGUCCGCUGUGAAAGUCGGGGGCUCAACCCUCGAAUGCCGGUGGAUACUGUCGGGCUAGAGUGCGGAAGAGGCGAGUGGAAUUCCUGGUGUAGCGGUGAAAUGCGCAGAUAUCAGGAGGAAUACCCAUAGCGAAGGCAGCUCGCUGGGACGUUACUGACGCUGAGGCGCGAAAGCGUGGGGAGCGAACAGG